UUGCGCAGUAUAGGUGGGAGGCAAAGAGUAUAUGUUCGCGGAUGUAUAGGAGCCAUUAGUGAGAUACCACUCUGAUUAAACUAGAAUUCUAAUAUUGAUUGCCAUAAGCUGGCCAAUAAACAGUUUCAGGUGGGCAGUUUGACUGGGGCGGUCGCCUCCUAAAAGGUAACGGAGGCGUGCAAAGGUUUCCUCAGGCUGGUCGGAAAUCAGUCGUAGAGUAUAAAGGCAUAAGGAAGCUUGACUGCGAGACUUACAAGUCGAGCAGAGACGAAAGUCGGCCUUAGUGAUCCGACAGUACUG
rnacentral:rRNA from 1 species